rnacentral:rRNA from 1 species
UACGUAGGGGGCAAGCGUUGUCCGGAAUCAUUGGGCGUAAAGAGCGUGUAGGCGGCUCGAUAAGUCUGCUGUGAAAGUCCAGGGCUCAACCCUGGAAGGCCGGUGGAAACUGUCGGGCUAGAGUCCGGAAGAGGCGAGUGGAAUUCCCGGUGUAGCGGUGAAAUGCGCAGAUAUCGGGAGGAACACCCGUGGCGAAAGCGGCUCUCUGGGACGGUACUGACGCUGAGACGCGAAAGCGUGGGGAGCAAACAGGG